UAGUUUCAAUUGGAUCAUCUGUUUGUUCACUUAAUCAAGGUCAGAUUAGCUUAUACUAUUUAAUAUUUUAAUAUUAUUUAUCUAUUUGUUUUUAUGAGGUUUUUUUGGUUGUUGGCGGACUGUUUGAAAGGGUGAUUAAUUGUUUGGUUCAGGUUGAGAAUGAGUCAGAUAACUCUCUUCUUCUCCUUCUUUAGUGUUUGAGUUUGGCUCCUGAUUUAACUAUAAUCAUAUGCGAGUAAUAAAUAAUAACAUAUUUUGGGAAAGAUUUGGUUGUUUGUUAUCUGUUGUAAUUCUCAUGUUUCCCGCCUUUUGUUAUUAAAUUUAGUGACUUUGCAUCAGUUGUGAAGUUCAGCUAGCAUCAACUGAGUAAUGUAAAAAGGGGGAGAGGGAAAUUAUGUUGACGGGUGAAUUGAGGAAUAAGGCCUCUUCAUCAAAAUAGGUUUGGACAUCCAUAUUGUGCCCUCAAUCGCUUCCUUUGUUCCUUGAUCCUAUUCUUUUCAUGUCCAUGGUAGCCAAUAUCAAGGAUAUGGGAAUUCCAGUUGGGAAACUCGCUAUAUAUACAACUCUGGGAGGAUUUAAGCCAUCCACUUUCAUUUGAAUGAAAGUUUUCUUUAAAUAUUCGACUUUGACGUAUGCAUGUCAGAAGUGUAGAAAAUGGUAGGAUAUUGGCAAAAAAGAUACAUCAGUCGAUGGAUUGAUUAAGUAUGCUAAGGUUUUGAUUUGGAAUCUGCUAUGAAAUCAAGCGUAACUUACAAUGAAAUCAGAUAUAUUCACAAGAAAUGCAAGCAACCAAGAAGCAAGUCGAGAAUUGUAAACAAACUGCAGAUCGAAUAGGGUGUGUAGAUUUACCUCUUGUUUUAUUAUCCAGUUGAUGCGAUUAAUUGUAACCCUUCGGUUGAAAUUUUUGUCGAAAAAUGUAGAGUUUAUACCUACCACUACAAACAAUAUUGCAUUUGUUCACACUUUUAGGUGAGUGUGAACAAAUUAAAAAUUUUGUCACGUUUUUUAG